rnacentral:misc_RNA from 1 species
AUAUGAUCAUUAGAAUAUCUCGAGAGUUAAACAUACAUGGUUGAUAACUGGUGUAGUUUGGUGCUGUGGGUUCUCAUCUCCAUAUGGAUCAGCAGCACACAAAUGUUAUGUACAAUUCAAAUUCUAUGUGAUCUCACACGAAAGUACCACUCAAGAAUCGAUGGUUUACUACAGCUUCCGCGAUUGGCCUCCCACGGUAGUCACGAUUUAGCAUUGCCUGUAGUAACUCCCAGCCAGCACCAUCUCCUAGAUCAAGAAACUUGACAGCUUCUAGCAGGCGAUCAUCAGCAGAACAAUAUUCCCUUGCAGCUUGAAGAUCAAGUUGAAAAGUAUUUUCCAGGAGCCUCCGCAAUGAUAUGCUGUCCAUGACUCCUGCUUCACAAAAUG